rnacentral:lncRNA from 1 species
AUGCCGCCCCUUAGAGUAAAGCAGCAUGGCGACACCUUGCCUCCCUCAGCGGCCAUUUUUACAAGAAACAAGCACAGGCUGGACUGGGUUAACCUAGAGCUUAUCAAACCACAUUUCUCUGCAUCCGAGGUCAAAUGGUCCUCCACGCACAAAGAGCUGCUAUUAAAAAUGCCCAGGAAGUUCUGUGCUUCCCGUGAGCUCUCCGUGACAUCUGCGGACAGGAGCCUUCUAUCCGAGCAGACCCGUGGGACCAAGCGCUCUCCAGGGACUCCCCGGAAAAGCCCCAAACCAAAGAGGACGCAGCUCAGCUGCACUUCCGCCACGUUCCGUCCAGCCCCAGAGAGGAUGGCCGGGAUCCUCAAAUUAUCCCUGAGAAUUCUGGGAAGGAGAAAGAGACUGAUUCGUCUGCCUAAGCAAGGAGUCCCCCAGAGAUGGCUGCAUUCUACCAAGCCUCUCUCAGGAGACAGACAGAGGCAGGCCACUAUUCCUGGCCUCUUCUAGAAACUCACACUUUAGGCGAUGCAACCCAAGAGCCCUGGGAGAUCCCACGGAAGAGCAGAGGCAGAAGUCCUGGUCAGGCUGCAGUGAAGCCUCCAUCACGACAUCCCCGUAUCCUCCCAGAGCAACCCCAACGGAUGUGACUGCACUUCAGCGUUGGCUUCUUUGGGAGCUCCUGCAGACAAAGUUGGCGAGAGAACCGGAAUUGCUUGAUUCUCAACAUGUAAGUAAUUAUCAUCCUGCUUUCAGUUCUGUUCAAAGGGAAAGGCACGCCCCUCCUAUUUUAGAAGUGUACACUAUGGACAGCUCAACUCUAUGGGCUAUAGAAAGUUUCUUAUCUUUUAGCCCUACAGAAAACAUCCCUCUUCCAACGCAAGUCUUGCUCUUCACCGAGGCACUCGUUUCACCAUAAAGGAGAUCGGAAACUAAACCAUUUCCCGGGUUUUACAUUGCUUCUCUUAAGCUGAGUUGCCCCACAAUAUUGAGCGCCAGAAAGGGUCCAUUUCUGGACUGGGUUUCCCCUCUCCUAGCACCCACGUCUGUAAAGAAUCAGAAGC